UACGUAGGGUGCGAGCGUUAAUCGGAAUUACUGGGCGUAAAGCGUGCGCAGGCGGUUGUGCAAGACAGAUGUGAAAUCCCCGGGCUUAACCUGGGAACUGCAUUUGUGACUGCACGGCUAGAGUGUGUCAGAGGGGGGUAGAAUUCCACGUGUAGCAGUGAAAUGCGUAGAUAUGUGGAGGAAUACCGAUGGCGAAGGCAGCCCCCUGGGAUAACACUGACGCUGAUGCACGAAAGCUAGGGUAGCGAACGGG
rnacentral:rRNA from 1 species